rnacentral:rRNA from 1 species
AUGGCCAAGAUCAAUCAGGAAGCAGCUGCCGAUGGUGUAGUGGACAUGAGUGAGCUGCUCCACACAUUCACGAAUGACAUGGUGUGCCGCAUCGUGUCGGGGAAGUUUUUCCUGAAAGAUGGUCGAAGCAAGUUGUUCCGGGAACUCAUUAAGGAUACCUCACGGCUGCUAGGCGGGUUCAAUUUGGAGGAGUACUUUCCGUCAUUGGGUAGGGUAGGGGUGCUCAAGAAGGCGGUUUGUGCCAAGGCCGAAGGAGUGAGGAACAGAUGGGCCGAUCUGUUGGACAAGGUGAUCGACGAUCGUGUGAGUAAGCGCAAGUCAACAUCUGAUCACAAGGAUGACGAUUUUCUGGAUAUUAUGUUGUCCGUCCAACAGGAGUAUGAUCUCACAAAAGAGCACAUGAAAGCUCUCCUCACAGAUGUAUUUUUUGGUGCGAUAGACACAUCAGCUAACGCCCUCGAAUUCACCUUGGCUGAGCUCAUGAGGAAGCCACACCUGAUGGUGAAGCUACAAGAUGAGGUGAGGGGUAUUAUUGUACCCCAAGGACAAGAAAUUAUCAGUGAAACCGACAUGAACAACAUGACGUACCUAAGAGCAGUCAUAAAAGAGUCGCUCCGGCUACAUCCUCUUGCUCCUCUCCUUGCUCCGCACCUUGCCAUGGCUGACUGCAUCACCGAUGGAUACAUAGUUCCUGCUAGGACACGUGUGGUCGUCAAUGCAUGGGCCAUUGGUAGGGAUCCGAGCUCGUGGGAGUAUGUAGAAGAGUUCAUUCCUGAAAGAUUUACAGAUGAAGGCAGCAGUAUGCAUGUCAACUUCAAGGGGAAUGAUUUCCAGUUCUUGCUGUUCGGAGCAAGACGGAGGAUGUGCCCUGGUAUGAACCUUGGGAUCACGAAUGUAGAGCUUAUGUUGGCAAACCUUUUGUGCCAUUUUGACUGGCAACUUCGGCUUGGGGCUGAGAGAAAAGACAUUGAUAUGACAGAGGUGUUUGGGCUAACUGUCCGUACGAAGGAGAAACUAUUGUUGAUUCCAAGAUCACGGAUGUAG